rnacentral:rRNA from 1 species
GACGUAGGGCGCGAGCGUUGUCCGGAUUUAUUGGGCGUAAAGAGCUCGUAGGCGGCUUGUCGCGUCGACUGUGAAAACCCGCGGCUCAACCGUGUGGUCUGCAGUCGAUACGGGCAGGCUAGAGUUCGGUAGGGGAGACUGGAAUUCCUGGUGUAGCGGUGAAAUGCGCAGAUAUCAGGAGGAACACCGGUGGCGAAGGCGGCAUCCUGGACCGGUAUUGACGCUGAGGCGCGAAAGCUAGGGGAGCAAACGGG